rnacentral:rRNA from 1 species
GAAAGGCGUGGGGAGCAAACAAGUUUAGAUACCCUUGGUAGUCCACGCUGUAAACGAUGAAUGUUAAAUAUGGGAAGUUUUACUUUCUGUAUUACAGCUAACGCGUUAAACAUUCCGCCUGGGGACUACGGUCGCAAGAUUAAAACUCAAAGGAAUUGACGGGGACCCGCACAAGCGGUGGAGCAUGUGGUUUAAUUCGAUGCAACGCGAAAAACCUUACCACUCCUUGACAUGGAAAUUAUACCUAUUCGAAGGGAUAGGGUCGGUUCGUCCGGGUUUCACACAGGUGUUGCAUGGCUGUCGUCAGCUCGUGUCGUGAGAUGUUGGGUUAAGUCCCGCAACGAGCGCAACCCUCAUCCUUAGUUACCAUCAGGUAAUGCUGGGGACUUUAAGGAAACUGCCAGUGAUAAACUGGAGGAAGGUGGGGAUGAUGUCAAGUCAUCAUGGCCCUUAUGGAGUGGGCUACACACGUGCUACAAUGGUGGCUACAAUGGGCUGCAAAGUCGCGAGGCUAAGCUAAUCCCUUAAAAGCCAUCUCAGUUCGGAUUGUACUCUGCAACUCGAGUGCAUGAAGUUGGAAUCGCUAGUAAUCGUGGAUCAGCACGCCACGGUGAAUACGUUCUCGGGUCUUGUACACACUGCCCGUCACGCCAUGGGAAUUGGUNUCACCCGAAGCUAAUGACCUAACCGCAAGGAGGGAGUUAUUUAAAGUGGGAUCGGUGACUGGGGUGAAGUCGUAACAAGGUAGCAGUAGGGGAAUCUGCGG